rnacentral:tRNA from 1 species
GCCUUCGUGGUGUAAUGGUCAGACACUGAGCCGGUAUUUCAGAGGUCCGCGGUUCGAUUCCCGGCGAAGGAA